rnacentral:rRNA from 1 species
GGGAUGACACAGUAGGAUAAGCUAAGCACACUGUUGGUUAUGUGUGCCCAAGCAUUGAGGCAGUCAAAGUAGGCAAAUCCGCUUUGAUAAUGCUGGGAUGUGAUGGGGAGCGAAAUUUAGUAGCGAAGUAGCUGAUUUCACACUGUCAAGAAAAGUCUCUAUCGAGGUUAAAGGUACCCGUACCGCAAACCGACACAGGUGGGUGAGGAGAGUAUCCUAAGGCCAGCGAGAGAACUGUUGUUAAGGAACUCGGCAAAAUGACCCCGUAACUUAGGGAUAAGGGGUGCCGCCAUCAGGUGGCCGCAGAGAAUAGGCCCAAGCGACUGUUUAC